UUGAAACUCAGAAUUGUAUUUUUUUGUAGAACAUUUCUGAGAUUAAUCUCAAAAUUUCUGGAUUUUUUGGUGAACAUUUAUUCCUUGUUUUUGUCUACAAUACGCCGUCAUGCAAAAAACUCAUUGUUGCACAACUUGAGAAACAGUUUGCAGUUCUGGUGUUAUUUAUUAAUCGCUAACAGGAUCAUCUUGACGUAACGUUACGCUCUUAAUGAAAAGAAAUCACGUCAGCAGAAAACCGUAGUUGAGCAUCAAGAGCUUCUCCAUGACGUUAGCCUGAGCGGCUAACUGCCAGCUGCUUAGCUACAAUCUUCUACACAAUUUCAACAAGAGAAUGUCAAUAUGUUAGCUAAUUUGCUAAUGUUUUCUUUGCUAGCAUAAAUUAAUCAGUUAGCUCUGAGUUGCACUAAAGUUAGCUGGUGUUGCUGCUUUUAGCGGGUUGGAAACAGGAAGUAGUGCCUCAGAUCAGGAAGUUAUUUCAUUAGUUCUUCAUAGUGUGAUCCUCUCAUCUGAAACCCAGCAGCUUUUUGGAUAGCUAGUAAUGCUAGUGUUAGCUAAUGUGCUAACAGUAGCAUUGCUAAUAAGGUUCAGCUGAACACAACAAUCCCUGCUAACUUAUUAUCCCAGUUUUGUGAUAAUUACUGUUUGUUUCUUUCUCUGUGGAAAAACUACAAAUUACUGAAUAUUUAAAGUUAUUUUAUUACUUUCUGAACUCUUUAACAUCCCAGAUUUCGCUCAAAUCAAACAUAUUGUCUCAUAAAGACGUUCUGUGUAAAAACUGAACAAACUGCCCCACUUCACUUUGAGCCUGCAGGCUUUCUGUCUCAGAGGAAACCGACCUUUGCUCUGUAAAUACUCCCAGCACCCAGUUUGUGUACAUAAAGCGAGCGACGACCAAACUCAUGUACCGACUCAGAGGGGAGGCUGGAUUAAAGAGGCAGCGUUUCGCCGUUUCCUGUGAAGUGAGGCAGACUGUAAAUGCAUGGAGGUUUAUUUCCCUGACUGAUCUUUGCAGUGGAGCUCACACCUGCUGCAGUGUGUGUUCAAACCUGCAGCUAAUGAGCCGCUUUGCACCAGCGCUCAGCAGGAGGUUCCCUGGAAACGAGCCGCUUCGUAUCGGACCGCACCGGGUUCCUCUCCUUCUGCUCAUCAUACAGCUGAGUGUCACUUAUUACAAAUGUAUCCAGGUUACCAUGGAAACCCUGAUUACUCGUUUGUGUGUUACGAUCAGCUGGAGGAGCUGAUCCAUGUUAAAAUACCAGUGAUGAAAAGACAAACAGUGAUUUAAAUUUUCUGCCGGUGAUGAUGUGACUUCUCCACAUUUCGUCGCCAUGGCAACGAUGCGGACCACCCACGGUGAUCUGACUCUGGUCGAAUCGACCUUCAUCACUCUGAGUGAAGACCUGAAGCGUAAACACAACCUGGACGUGUGAGGAGAGACACAAACUGCAACAGAGAUGAACUAAUGCAUUCAUUCAUUCAUUCAUUCAUUCAGUCACCAUGACUGUAAAGAUGGUUCACAAUUGUUCUACAUUAUAUUUUGUCUGAAAUAAAAAUGAAUGGUGUGACACUGAA